UACGGGGGGGGCAAGCGUUGUUCGGAAUUACUGGGCGUAAAGGGCGCGUAGGCGGCCUGCUAAGUCGGACGUGAAAUCCCUCGGCUCAAUCGGGGAACUGCGUCCGAUACUGGUGGGCUCGAAUCCGGGGGAGGGAUGUGGAAUUCCAGGUGUAGCGGUGAAAUGCGUAGAUAUCUGGAGGAACACCGGUGGCGAAGGCGGCAUCCUGGACCGGUAUUGACGCUGAUGCGCGAAAGCCAGGGGAGCAAACGGG
rnacentral:rRNA from 1 species